rnacentral:rRNA from 1 species
AACGAACGCUGGCGGCAGGCUUAACACAUGCAAGUCGAACGCCCCGCAAGGGGAGUGGCAGACGGGUGAGUAACGCGUGGGAAUCUACCCAUCCCUACGGAAUAACGCAUGGAAACGUGUGCUAAUACCGUAUACGCCCUACGGGGGAAAGAUUUAUCGGGGAUGGAUGAGCCCGCGUUGGAUUAGCUAGUUGGUGGGGUAAAGGCCUACCAAGGCGACGAUCCAUAGCUGGUCUGAGAGGAUGAUCAGCCACAUUGGGACUGAGACACGGCCCAAACUCCUAAGGGAGGCAGCAGUGGGGAAUAUUGGACAAUGGGCGCAAGCCUGAUCCAGCCAUGCCGCGUGAGUGAUGAAGGCCUUAGGGUUGUAAAGCUCUUUCACCGGAGAAGAUAAUGACGGUAUCCGGAGAAGAAGCCCCGGCUAACUUCGUG